rnacentral:lncRNA from 1 species
GAAAGACUGGAGUCCGCAGGAGGGCAUGGAAGGCCAUGUGAUUCACCGAUGGGUGCCUUGCAGCAGAGAUCCAGGUACCAGAUCCCACAUCGACAAGGCAGUGCUUCUGGUCCAGAUUGAUGAUAAAUAUGUGACUGUAAUUGAAACUGGGGUACUAGAACUUGGGGCUGAAGUGUGAGCCAGUGUUUAUUAUAAAGACAUUUCUUUUUCCCUCUCAAUUCCAAGGCAUUGGAAAAAGAGAGGAACAAGCAGAAGAUGCCUGCAGGUAUCACUUUGAUCCUAUGUGGGAGCGACUGAAAAUAGAAUGAGCUUGGUUAAGCACCUCUCCUUUGCCCUUCACCCUGACUCCUGUCACUGUCUCCAUCCCCAAAUAAAGCUGAAAUAUUUUUUUAAGUUAGCUGCCGAGAAAACAUUUUGCAUGAAGGAUAAAGUUCUGUUAAAAUACAUCCUUAAAAAAAGUUUUUCCUAUGCAUUGCCUAUGCUUUAAAUCAACAAACUCUUCAUUUCUAAACUAUGAUCUCAUAUUUUUCUAAUUUCUUUGCC